AGCUUUGCGUAGUGGCGAUAUCGUAACCAAUGAGGUGCUGCUGAGGUGCGAUUAUUGCUAGUUGAAAACAUACUUAAUUUUUCCAAAAUUGAUCCAGACCAGCAUUUGAAAAAGGCUUUUUCGAAUAAGUUUUUCGAUAAUU